GAGCGCGGUCGGCGACCGCCCCCGGCUUGUUUCGGCCCCGCCGCCCGCCCGCCUGUGUCUCCGCCGGCCGGGCCGGGGCGGCGGCCGGAGCCCCGAGUGCCGGCUCCCUUCCCCCGUGGGUGCCAGCUGCUGGCCCUGCCCGGUGCCCCCCCACCCCUGUGCCAUGGCCGGCUGGGGUUCCUGGGGAUGGGAUUUGCUGCCUGUCACAAAUCACAUUGCCAGGGAUUUCCAACCGACCCUGAGCCCUGCCUCUGGGGCCACCGCUGUCACUGCUUCCGCUGAGGACACUGACCCAGGGAUGGGGAUGGGGUGGCAGAGAGGCCUCCACCGCCUGUGUCUGGCCUGGGGAGCAGGGCUUAGCUGCUUGUGAGCAGGUCCACAGCAAGUCGUGUUCACAGUGGCUAAGUUCCGCCCCCCGGGGCCCCGCCUCCUCUGGCCCUGCCACCUCUCCCCUCCGCCUGCCUGUCCGACCUCCGGGCCUCUCUGGGCUCUGCCUCCCGUGCCUACUGAGCUGAAACACAGUUGAUUUGUGCAGACUGGCUCAGUUCAGCAGGAACAGGAGUCAAGCCCCCUUGGAGUCUUCGGCCCCUGCCUUCCUUGGGUGGGCCAGUCGCUGCCUGGGAGAAGAGAUGAGGACCCUGCCCUGGACCUGUGUCUGGAGGAGGAACUUGGGGACGAGUGGAGCCUGGGAUGGGAUGGGUGAACCCAGCUGUCUGCUGCAGGCCCCCUCCUCCAAUUCUGCACUUGGGGACCCUCACACGGUCCCAUCUCAGGCUGGGCUGUGUUCCCGGGGAGGAUGGGUAGGCAGGCGAGUGGCCAGCCUUUCCAUGAAAAAAGGAAGCCAGCUGUGUCCCCACCUGGCCGACCCUUGGCCCCUCCUCUCCCAAGCCUGGUCGGGGGAUGGCUGGCUCGCAUCUUCCCAGUAGUCAGUUACCCAAGAGGAAGCUGCCUUGGGCCCCCAGACCGUUAAAUGCCAACUCCGGGCUUCCGGAACCAGGCUGGCCUGACCUGAACCUGCCUGGCCCCUUCUCCCUGGGCCCUGCGGCUUCCUAACUUGGGGGGGAGGAGCCAUGACGCCCUCCUGGCACGUGGGGCAGGGAAUGAGGUCCCUGUGGGCCCAAAGGACACAAGCAGGCCCUCUCAGUCCUUGGGUGGUCCCAGGGCAUGGACGCAUUGAGACUUUGUCCAUCAUCAGAUGGAAUGGGGCUCUUUUGGGGGUGAGACUGGGGAGGCAGAGUGAAGCCCCCCAGGCUGUCAGAGUUGGCUCAGUGUACCCCUGUUCCACUGGGGCAGGGGCAGACAGCAGCUUGGGGAAGUCUAUGCUGUGUGUCGAGCCUGUUGUUCAAUUAAAUAAAAGCUGCCCCCUGCCUCAUUCCUGAAGGUC